GCCAGCAGCCAUGUCACCCUGCAACUUACAAUUGGCAGCCCACUGAAGCUCAGCAGGUGUGAGCCUGGUCAGUACCUGGAUGGGAGACCUCCUGGGAAAAACUAAGGUUGCUGCUGGAA
rnacentral:rRNA from 1 species